rnacentral:misc_RNA from 1 species
GAGCCUCCCGACACAGAGGAAAAGGUUUUCAAUACUUGUUUUGAUAUCAUUAUUGCCGAAGUUGUUCAUAAUUCAUUGUAUAUUAUUGUUUUGAGUUUGGUGGAUAAUCUUGCUUUUCUAGAUGCAUAGUUGUAAUUUGCUGCUGUUACAUCAAUAUAUCAUAAACAAUAGCUAUGACUAAGAGCUUCUGUACUCUUGAUAACUAUUCGUGAUAUGCAUUCCUUGAUUUUCUUUGCAGUUAUGCAUUGAUUGUUUUUCUUAUCAGAAAUUGCUGUUGCCUAUAGUGUUUUUUGUUAGUUUUGAUCUUAUUGUGGUUUUUCUUUAGUUUUAGCUGGGUGCUCGAUGUGUUGUGUCGUCUUGGUUUUUGUUGACAGGUGUAAAAUUAUGAUCUUUUAGAGGAGAAAUUCAAUGUAUAGUUUAUUCUUUUGGCAUCUCAUUUCUUCUUUGGCAUGACAAAGCAGCACGGGAAUAUUUAUGUUUCAAUAUAACUUGUUCUCUGUGCUGUAUGAGUUUUACUAAAUGGCCUAGCAUUAGUUUGUUAUCAGAUAUAAUUCUGCACACAGCCAACCAGUUGGCGUAGCUUUUAAUGCAAAAUAUUCUAACGAGGUGUUUGCGUAUGGUAUAUUAUCCAUCUUAUACGUUUCCAUGAGUCUUGUACUUGCACAGUUUUUGCAUUGAUCCAUUCGUGAUUUCAUGUGCCUUGAAAUUCAUAUAUUUCAAUAUUUGUUAUUAUCUGAGGAGCUGAUUUUUUCACAUUCUUCUGUGAUGUUAACUGUGUUGGUAUUUUACUCUCUUCUCUGAUGUUUACAGUGAAGGCAUUUCCCAGAGAUGA